UUCCAAACCCGUGCCCACACGGCACAACACAGCUGCCAGGUGCAGCUCUGCAGCUUCCCUUCCUCACCGCAGGCCCCCUCUCCUCCUCAGGGGCAGGAGGCAGCCUGGGCAGGGCUUUCCCAGGGGCUCAGGGAACUUUGCAGAGAUGCUGCCGACAGAACACAGCAGAGCUCAGCUUCCAAGUGCUUAGCUCAGAGUCGCCUGAGGAGAAGUAACUUCAUUUCGCACGGACACCUCCAGCCCUGUGAGAAGGCCUCCAUUUCACACCAGUUUUAUCUCCACAAUUUCUCGUCUCAGUGCACUCCUGUCCCAGGGCCUCGCCACGCAGCAGGUGAGGCCCGAACUAAUAGCAUUUCCUACUCAUUUGGAAUCAAAAGCCAACGAGAACAACUGUUGAAACGCGUGGCUACAGCCACCCAGAGCACACUCAUUACUGCCCCUCUGCGCACCCAUUCGCAGGCGCCAUGUUUGCUGGGUUAGAUGAGGGAGAGAAGUGGGGGCUCCUCUAGCCUCUUAACUCCCCACUCAGGCAGAGAAAGGAAGGCUGGGGGGCUGGGCUCAGCUUGCAGGGUGGUGGUCAGCUCAGUGGAGGGACGGGCACUGCCCCUCCAGGGAGUCUGAGAGAAGAGGCAGGCAGUGUAGACAUGAAGAUUGUGGGCCCUGCAGACAGACGGCCUCAGAUUGAAUUCUGGCUCCAUCACUUCCCAGCUCUGCCUCAAUUUACUCACCUGCUAAAUGAGAACAGCCUAUUUUAAAGGAUUAUGCUGAAGAUUAAAUUAGAUAGUGCACAUGAAGUGUUUACACCAAUAUUUGACACAGUAGCUUAACAAAAUCAGCUAAGAAAAUUUCUGGAUCUCUUAGGACCCAACAAUUCUACUCCUAGGUAUACACCCAAAAGAAAUGAGAGCUUACGUCCACCAAAGGAGAUGUACAAGAAUGUUCAUAGCAGUUUUCUUCGUAAUAGCCCCAAACCAAAAACAACACAAAUGUCCAUUAACAGUAAAAUGGAUAAUAACUUAGAGUAGAUUUAUACAAUGGAAUAGUACACAGCAGUGAAAAAGAAUAAGUCACAGAUACAGCAUGGAUGAAUCAGACAGCAUAAUGUUGAAUUAAAGAAGCCAGACACCAAAAAGUUACAUCCUGUAUAAUUCUAUUUCUAUGUAAUUCCUGAACAGGCAAAACCCAUCUGUGGGGAGAGAUGUCAGAAUAACGGUGUGAUUGUCACCUGGCAGGAGGCAUGAGGAAGGCUGCUGAGGGACCAGAAAUGUCCUCCAUCUUGAUCUGGGUGGUGUUUAAAUGGAUAUGAACAUAUGUAAAAAUUCGGUGAACUGAAUAUUUGAGACUUGUGCAUUUUACUGUCUAUGUGUUACAUCUCAAUUAAAAAAAGAACUAAGAUGGAAACUCUUCAGUCGGACUUUAUACGCCUCUUCAUAAACCCACCAUUCACUGAGCACUCACUACAGCUGUUAUCUCAGUGAAG
rnacentral:lncRNA from 1 species